AUUGAACGCUGGCGGCAUGCUUUACACAUGCAAGUCGAACGGGAACAGGCCGCCAGGUGCUGACGAGUGGCGAACGGGUGCGUAAUGCAUCGGAACGUGCCCAGUCGUGGGGGAUAACUACUCGAAAGAGUAGCUAAUACCGCAUACGAUCUAUGGAUGAAAGCGGGGGACCGUAAGGCCUCGCGCGACUGGAGCGGCCGAUGUCAGAUUAGGUAGUUGGUGGGGUAAAGGCUCACCAAGCCAACGAUCUGUAGCUGGUCUGAGAGGACGAGCAGCCAAACUGGGACUGAGACACGGCCCAGACUCCUACGGUAGGCAGCAGUGGGGAAUUUUGGACAAUGGGCGCAAGCCUGAUCCAGCAAUGCCGCGUGCAGGAAGAAGGCCUUCGGGUUGUAAACUGCUUUUGUACGGAACGAAACGGCUCUGGUUAAUACCCGGGGCUAAUGACGGUACCGUAAGAAUAAGCACCGGCUAACUACGUG
rnacentral:rRNA from 1 species